rnacentral:rRNA from 1 species
CAGCAGCCGCGGGAAAACGGAGGGUGCAAGCGUUAUCCGGAUUUAUUGGGUUUAAAGGGUCCGUAGGCGGACUUAUAAGUCAGUGGUGAAAGCCUGUCGCUUAACGAUAGAACUGCCAUUGAUACUGUAAGUCUUGAGUAUAUUUGAGUUAGCUGGAAUAAGUAGUGUAGCGGUGAAAUGCAUAGAUAUUACUUAGAACACCAAUUGCGAAGGCAGGUUACCAAGAUAUAACUGACGCUGAGGGACGAAAGCGUGGGUAGCGAACAGGAUUAGAUACCCCAGUAGUCCCUGUCUCUUAUAU